GCAUCCCUUUCUGGCUCACACAGACAGCAGAGAAGCGGAGACGCUAGAGCACAGCAACUGUGGCUUUCUGUCUAUUUUAGCGCAAAGGAACAGAAACAACCACUCAGCUGAGAGCAGCCACCACUUAUCUGCUGCUUGACCACAGCAAGAGAACAGAGAGAGCAGAUGGGGACUGCAGCUUCCCUUUUACUGAGAACAGAAUGAGCAGAGAUGGUCUGGGAACAGGGAGCCCGAUUUUCUGAUAUCCUGAUCCUUGUACCGUCAUUUGCACCAGUACAAAGUGAGUGUGAAACAUUACCAUCCUCUUUUAGCAGCCCUUUGCCCUGAUGCAAAUACCGCAGCAGGUGCAGGGCAACAACGAUUCAGACCCGGAGAGCCACUGCAGCUCGUCCCUAUCACUGGAGAGAGCAUCUAAACCUCAAGGAGCAAAGCAGAACACAGCAGCGACCAGCUGUGGCUUCCCGUCGGCCUGAAUCCUGCAGACAAGAAGGUGACCCACAGCACCAAGUCACUGCAUUCCUGGGCUGUGAGGAGCAGCAGACAGUGGAGACUGGAGAACAGAGCUAGUCCUUUGUCUGAGACCCAAGGACUUGGAGGAGAUUCAGAGAAGAUCCCUUUGUUCUUGGGGAGCAGAAGCCACUGCAGAAUUUGAAGGCAGUUGAAUAAAUGCUGAUCCCACCAAUGAUUCUCGCACUGUACCUUUGGCUUGUUUCUUUGAGUUUUACAUCCCAGCAGCAGCCGGCCUCCAACUGCAUUUCCUCAUCAGGUUUUGGUCUCUAAUGUGGCUUCUCUGAGAACACUGGCACAGGGCUCAGCUCUUGCAAACUCUUUCGAUUUGUUUUCCUUUUUGUGCAUCAGCUUUUUUUUCCCCUUUGGGAACAUAUUACAGCCCGAGUGACUGAUCUGCUUCAGAAGACCAGCAGCUCAGCUCCCCAAAGAACAGAUAUCUGCUCCCUAGCAUCCAGUAACUCAUGUCAGUCAAGCAAUAGUUAUGACUUUUUUGGAGUAAAUGGCACACGAAAAACACAGAAUUUAAGGCAGAUGAGAAUGUCCAUAUUUCAUAUUUAACAUUAUAUCAAACUAUUUAAUGCAGUGGAGCCUGGACUUGGAGCUGGGCUCUAAUUCUGGCUGUGCAGUCGGGGUGACCUUGGACAAGUCACGGUCCCACUCUGUGACUCGGUUUCCCCAUCUGUAAGCUGUGGAGGAUGACAUGGACCUCCUUUGUAAAGCACUUGGUGAUCUAAGGAGGAAAAGCACUGGGUACAAGCCAACUAUUUUUACUACUGAUGGCCGGAUGCUGCCUCCUCACUACUAACGAGUAGUUCCCUACUCCAUGAGUGGUUGCCUUGAAAUCAGUGGGACUUCUUCAGAUAAGAUGCUAUGAAAUGGGUGACAUUCACUCCUCUGCAGCUCAAGGCCUAUAUUUCACUUAUACAGGGGGUAAGAGGCACAUACGCAGUGCAUAAGCCUUGUGGGAAGCGGUGAAUUUCAUCCCAUGUAAAUAAUGGCUGAACCAUCCACCCUAUAGUCUCUCUCUCCAGUACACAGUAGCUUGCAAACGUGCUUUCAUGUCCCUUCAUACAUACUCCAGAGUUGAUGAUUUGGCCACUUUCCUUCUUUGAAGGAGGCUGCUCUCUUUGGGCUAAUAUAGAUGUGAUGCUACACGUUACAAACUGCCAUGCACUGUGUGAUGCUGGAGAAAUGACUUCACAGACAGGGCCUGCCCACAACAUUUUGGCACCUGAGGUGGGGAGCUCAAAUGACGCCCC